GUACGCUUGCGUAGUAUCUGUGAUCAAAUGAUCAUGUGCAGCAAAUACGGGUUUCAAGGUCAGCCAUAAAACAACAAAACAACUGACUUUACCCAACCAACUCUUUAAAAUCUUUAAUUAUUUAUUUGUUUUUAACUUAAUUCAGAUUUAUUUACUUAUACCCUUGUCUAUACAGGCUUAUUCUAACUAGACACAUAAUUACGGAGCGUUUAAAAACUUAUUCUUAACAGAGUUCUUAAUCUAAAAUAUGAUGAGUGAAUCAAAGGAUAUAGAAGAUGCUAUACUGGAGAAUGCAAAUAAUGGAAACAUGUUAGAUUUUGAAGCUAAAAUAUUUCUAGAUAUUGUCCGCACUGAUGGUUUAGUCAUAGCAGCAAAAGGAGUUAAUCUAGAUUUGGUAAUUUUAAAUAUCUUAAAAGUUUACCAGGAUCCUGGAAAUUUGGUUAUUAUAUUAAAUUCAACUGAAUCUGAGCAACGAUUUUUUAAAGAAAAAUUAAAUUAUCAACAUAUUUAUAGCGAACACCAAAACGGUAAUGAACGAGAGGAAGAAUAUUUAUGUGGAGGUCUCCAUUUUCUAUCCACAAGAAUUUUAGUAGUUGAUUUAUUAAAGAAGCGUAUACCUACUGAUAAAAUUACUGGUAUGAUUGUGUUAAGGGCCCACAGAAUAUUUGAAAGCUGUAACGAGGCAUUUGCUUUAAGGUUGUACAGACAGAAUAAUCAGAGUGGUUUUGUUAAAGCAUUUUCUAAUAGUGCUCAAAGCUUUACUAUGGGAUUCUGUCAUGUCGAUAGAGUUAUGCGUGCUUUAUUUGUCAAUCAACUUUACAUUUGGCCUAGAUUCCAUCUCCUAAUAUGUGAUUGUUUGAAAAAAUAUCAACCACAGGUUAUUGAAUUGCAUAUACCUAUUACAGACCUGAUGAAAAAAAUACAAACUUAUAUAUUGGAGUUAAUGAAUUUAACAGUAAAAGAGUUAAAAAAACUUAAUCCUCCUUUAGAAAUGCAAGAUGUUACAGUAGAAAAUUGUAUAACUAAGAAUUUUCAUAAAAUAUUACAGGCAGAAUUGAAUAUGGUGUGGCAUCAACUUAGUAACAAAAGUUGUCAAUUGAUCGCAGAGUUAAAGACACUUCGGCAUUUGUUACUAUUGCUGUUCUAUACUGAUUCAGUUACUUUCUACUCCAAUUUAUUAGAAUAUAGAAAGCCCGAGUAUGCCAGAAACACACAAUGGGUUUUAAAUAAUUCUGCUGAACUUUUAUUUAAAGACUCUACUAAAUUAGUUUUUACUGAAGAUAGAGAAUUUAAUCCACAAUUUUGUCCUAAGUGGGAAGCCCUAAUGGAACUUUUAAAAGUGGAAAUACCUGCUGAAAUCAGUAGAUCCAAAAAUGAGAAUAAUACAAUAUUAAUUCUUUGUAGUAAUAACAGAACUUGUCAUCAACUUAAUAUGCUUUUAGGAAGUGGUCCUCAGCAUUACCUAGUAUUUUUGGCAUUGAAAAAUAAGAUACAAUUUAAACGUUUAAGUCAAGCGUUCAAGGAUUGUCAUAUGACGAUAGAAGAGACUAGAAAAGAAGACCAAUAUAAUGAGUUAAAUAAAAAUAUUCAGUACAAUGAUGAAAAUGCGUUUUCAAAAGAAGAAGACGAAAAUACCAAGUUUGAAAGCACAUAUAUAUUGACCAUGAAUGACCCUAUAAAGGAUUCCUCUACAGAUGCAUGUAAUGAUCAAAUAUUUACACCUGUUGCAGAUGGUGAUAGCAUAAACUUAAAAGAUAUUUCUAAAACUGUUUGUUCGCCCACAAUACUAAUUCAAACAUUUAAAGGAGGAGAGAAUUAUAUUAGCCUCCAGACUACAUUAGAAGCAUUGAACCCGAAUUUCCUAAUUAUGUAUCAUAGCAAUGUAACAGCAAUACGAGACAUCGAAAUGUAUGAAGCACACAAUAAAAACCCCGGAAAAUUAAAAACUUAUGUUCUCAUACAUGCAGGAACAGUCGAAGAACAAUCAUAUUUGACGUUACUGAGAAGGGAAAAAGAAGCAUUUGAAUUUUUAAUUCAAACAAAAGCUCAAAUGGUAAUUCCGUCUGAUCAAGAUGGUAAAAAUGCUCAAUGUAUUACUCUACAAAAACCACUAGAUAGUUCCGAAAAAAAUACACGUCAAGGAGGUCAAGUCACAGCGGUAGAAAAAUCUUUUGUUAUUGUUGAUAUGAGAGAAUUUCGAAGUGAUUUGCCAUCCCUGAUACAUAAAAGAGGAAUUGAUAUUGAACCAUUAACAAUUACGGUAGGGGACUAUAUUUUAACAAACGAUAUCUGCGUGGAAAGAAAAAGUAUAUCCGAUCUAAUUCAGUCAUUAAACUCUGGAAGAUUAUACCAACAAUGUACUCAAAUGCAAAGAUAUUAUUCUAAACCAAUGUUAUUAAUUGAAUUCGAACAGAAUGGGUCAUUUAGUUGGCAGAACCAGUAUAUGCUGUCUGAAGAUAGUAACAACUUUGAUAUACAACAAAAGUUGUUACUUCUGACAAUCCACUUUCCAAAGUUGAAAAUUAUAUGGAGCCCGAGCCCCUAUGCAACAGCUCAGUUAUUUGAAGAAUUAAAAAUACAGAUCAAUUUGUGGAGUAUUUCAGCAAGGAAAAGAAGAACCUACUAUUGAGAACGCAUUAGCUAUUGGCUGUGAUCAAGAUUUAGAUAUUAUUGAAACUAAAUAUAAUUCCAGUAUUUAUGAUUUUAUGCAGAAGUUGCCUGGCAUUACAACUAAAAACAUUCAUCAAAUAUUAAGAAAUGGAAUAAAUCUUGGAGAAAUUAUAAAACAGUCUGAGGGCGAUCUGGAUUGUUUAUUUAAUAACUCAAUAGAUGCACGUGCAUUUCAUUCAGCGCUUCAUCAAUCUUGUAUACCAGAAAAAAAUGACAGAAAAGAAGAAUUUAAACAAAAAAAAUCCAAUUUCGGCAGAGGUAAACUAAAGAGGAGCAGAAAUAUAUGAGAAAUCAACAGUAAUCAAAACA
rnacentral:misc_RNA from 1 species